CAGCAGUGGGGAAUAUUGCACAAUGGACGCAAGUCUGAUGCAGCAACGCCGCGUGGAGGAUGACGCAUUUCGGUGUGUAAACUCCUUUUAUAGGGGAAGAUAAUGACGGUACCCUAUGAAUAAGCACCGGCUAACUCCGUGCCAGCAGCCGCGGUAAUACGGAGGGUGCAAGCGUUACUCGGAAUCACUGGGCGUAAAGGAUGCGUAGGCUGGAAAUCAAGUCAGAGGUGAAAUCCAACGGCUCAACCGUUGAACUGCUUCUGAAACUGGUUACCUAGAAUAUGGGAGAGGUAGAUGGAAUUAGUGGUGUAGGGGUAAAAUCCGUAGAUAUCACUAGGAAUACCGAUUGCGAAGGCGAUCUACUGGAACAUUAUUGACGCUGAGGCAUGAAAGCGUGGGGAGCAAACAGGAUUAGA
rnacentral:rRNA from 1 species